CAGAGGUCCCGAGCGUUGUUCGGAUUCACUGGGCGUAAAGGGUGCGUAGGUGGCCUAAAAAGUUUGAUGUGAAAGCUCAGGGCUUAACCCUGAAAUGGCAUUGAAUACUGUUGGGCUGGAGGUUUGGAGGGGGGACUGGAAUUCUUGGUGUAGCAGUGAAAUGCGUAGAUAUCAAGAGGAACACCAGUGGCGAAGGCGAGUCCCUGGACAACACCUGACACUGAGGCACGAAAGCUAGGGGAGCAAACAGG
rnacentral:rRNA from 1 species